rnacentral:rRNA from 1 species
GAUGAACGCUGGCGGCGUGCUUAACACAUGCAAGUCGAACGGUGAAGGCGGAGCUUGCUCUGCUGGAUCAGUGGCGAACGGGUGAGUAACACGUGAGCAAUCUGCCCCUGACUCUGGGAAAGCGCUGGAAACGGCGUCUAAUACUGGAUACGAGCUGCGAGGGCAUCUUCAGCAGCUGGAAAGAAUUUCGGUCAGGGAUGAGCUCGCGGCCUAUCAGCUUGUUGGUGAGGUAAUGGCUCACCAAGGCGUCGACGGGUAGCCGGCCUGAGAGGGUGACCGGCCACACUGGGACUGAGACACGGCCCAGACUCCUACGGGAGGCAGCAGUGGGGAAUAUUGCACAAUGGGCGAAAGCCUGAUGCAGCAACGCCGCGUGAGGGACGACGGCCCUCGGGUUGUAAACCUCUUUUAGCAGGGAAGAAGCGAAAGUGACGGUACCUGCAGAAAAAGCGCCGGCUAACUACGUG